GCGCUUUGCCCAGCUUGACAGGGAAAACCAGCCUGGACACCAAGUCUGUGUCAGAAGGCCACCUCAAGAGGAACAUCGUGGUGAAGACCGUGGAGAUGCGGGAUGGAGAGGGUACCCACCCAGAGACAUCUGGUAUCAUUUAACAAACAUAUUGAAGGACAACUGGUCUUCAGAGCUGAAGAGAGCUCCUAGGGGGAGAAGUUGGGACAACAGUGAAAUAAGUAGCAGCAGCAACGACAGAGGUGAAUGGUGACAAAGACUGCUGUGAUGAGCAGGUAGCCUAUCAGGGUGAGCUCCACAGCUGAGCGAGUCUCAGGAUCUGAGAACGAGGCUGGGUAGCGCCCACGAGAUAUCACACCCAGCCGGAAGCCAGCAACUAGCACACCCUGCCUCCAGCAAUAGUAGAUGCCCCGGUCAUCCAGCUGGGUGAAGCGGAUGUGGAGCUGGUUGCCGUGGUCAAUGAACACCCUCAUGGACCUGUUGACACCCUUCAGGGUACUAAGCAGCUCCGAACCAGCACCUCAGGCGUGUGGUCCCUGGCCUUGGUCCGCAGCUUCCUUGGCACAGCCCUUGAGCCACAAGACACCACAUCAGGCACGGCCUUGAGAACACUGGCGCUCACCCAAGAAUGGGUCAAAGGAAACCGGAAUGAGAAGGGCGGGCUGAGGUGCUCGGGCAGGGAGAUCUCUGCCUCAGUGCUCCAGGCCCUGCCCUGCCAGCCUGGUGGAAAAGUCUUUCAUCAACCUGGGGGAUGAAGGAAACCCACCCUCCUGCAUAUCUGGCCAUCCGGGAGGCUGGCUGGACCUGAGCUGAUGGCUUGGGCCUUUCCCAGGCCCAACCUGCACAAGAACUGAGUCUCUAGGGGAAAAUUCAACACCUCAAAUGAUGUAGUAUUUGAUCAUUUGUUGAUUACAUGUCCAUUCAUUGGUUUGGGGUUAUAAACAUUCUUGUUAAGAGCUGUGGAGAUCAGUGUUUGUUU
rnacentral:sRNA from 1 species